rnacentral:rRNA from 1 species
AAUUGCAUAUCAAUAAGCGGAGGAAAAGAAACUAACAAGGAUUCCCCUAGUAACUGCGAGUGAAGCGGGAAAAGCUCAAAUUUAAAAUCUGGCAGUCUUUGAUUGUCCGAGUUGUAAUCUGGAGAAGUGCUUUCCGCGCUGGACCGUGUACAAGUCUCUUGGAAUAGAGCGUCAUAGAGGGUGAGAAUCCCGUCUUUGACACGGACUACCAGUGCUUUGUGAUGCGCUUUCAAAGAGUCGAGUUGUUUGGGAAUGCAGCUCAAAAUGGGUGGUAAAUUCCAUCUAAAGCUAAAUAUUGGCGAGAGACCGAUAGCGAACAAGUACCGUGAGGGAAAGAUGAAAAGCACUUUGGAAAGAGAGUUAAACAGUACGUGAAAUUGCUGAAAGGGAAACACUUGAAGUCAGUCGCGUUGUUCAGAACUCAGCCUAGCCUUGGCUUGGUGCAUUUUCUGAAUAACGGGCCAGCAUCAAUUUUGACUGUUGGAUAAAGGCCGAGGAAAUGUGGCUCCUUUGGGAGUGUUAUAGUCCUUGGUUGCAUACAAUGGUUGGGAUUGAGGAACUCAGCAUGCCUUUAUGGUCGGGGUUCGCCCACGUUCAUGCUUAGGAUGCUGGCGUAAUGGCUUUAAAUGACCCGUCUUGAAACACGGACCAAGGAGUCUAACAUGCCUGCGAGUGUUUGGGUGGAAAACCCGAGCGCGCAAUGAAAGUGAAAGUUGGGAUCCCUGUCGUGGGGAGCACCGACGCCCGGACCAGACCUUCUGUGACGGAUCCGCGGUAGAGCAUGUAUGUUGGGACCCGAAAGAUGGUGAACUAUGCCUGAAUAGGGUGAAGCCAGAGGAAACUCUGGUGGAGGCUCGUAGCGAUUCUGACGUGCAAAUCGAUCGUCAAAUUUGGGUAUAGGGGCGAAAGACUAAUCGACCCUUUUG